GAGACAUUGGAGCUGAGCCUUGUCUGGAUCAUGUUUCCAGCUUCUGUGAAGCUGAUGCUUUAACGUCUGUUCUGCGUACAUACACGGGACAUGCCUUGUCCCGAAUCCCCUCAGCUCAGCCUCCUGCCUCCCUGUCCCUCACCCCACCCCCAGGAAGAGCCCUCCUUCGUGGGCCCACUUUCCAAAUAAAAACCAACCCAUCCAGGAUCCGCCUACACCCCAAGCACCUCCGCUAUUGGACACUCAUACUCAGGGCCACUGCCCCUCUGCCCUUGUCACCCAGGGUAGGCACCAGACACCUGGGACAGCCCCACCCCUGCCCCAGAGCCUGUGAAGUUAUUCAGACCAGCCAGUCCUGAGCCUGCUCGCCCGUCUCGCUGUUCAUUCCUGCAGAACUCACAGUAGAGGCUCCUGCCAGCAGCCCUGCUCCCUCUGCCUCCUGACCACCCCACGCUUCCCACGUGGCCUUGCGUGGUGUGGCAUGCCCCCUCCUCUGGGAACUGCCGCUGCGUCUCUGCCUCGCAGAGCCAGGUGGGGACAACAGGCUCACUGUGGCUGCAUCUCACUGGGAGUGCAGAGACUUCCAGCUGCACCGUGCAGGACAGUGCCCUGAGAUGCCAGGACAAAGGCACAAGUUCCACAUCUGUCCUUCCUUCCCUGCAAAGGAGCAGUCUCGGCAUUGUGACCUUCUCCCAGGCCUGCAGAGUCAAGUUGGCUGCUGAUCCCGGAUGAUCUAGCCACGCUGAUGCCCUCAGUGUUCUGAGUACCUCAAGACAAGCAGGCCUUUUGGACAUUGCCCCAAAAGGCUGAGGAGCCAAACCCUCACUUGUUCUUUCUCCUGUGAAAGAAGUAGGCCAAGGGAUCUCUCUCAGCUCUGAGUUUUGUCAGCCUGAAGGAGAGUUGAUGCGCGCCAAGUAAAACUGCUCUUUUACCCUUUUUAGUGUGACUGAUCUUGAAUUACG
rnacentral:lncRNA from 1 species